GAUGAACGCGGCGGCGUGCCUAACACAUGCAAGUCGAACGAAGUAUAUAUAGGAAGUCUUCGGAUGGAAUAUGUAUAACUUAGUGGCGGACGGGUGAGUAACGCGUAAGUAAUCAACCUGUGACACACGGAUAACUGAUAGAAAUGUCAGCUAAUACGAGAUGAACUGUUUAGAUUGGGAAAUGGAAACAGCAAAGCGAAAGCGGUCACAGACGAGCUUGCGUCUGAUUAGCUAGUUGGUGGGGUAAGAGCCUACCAAGGCGACGAUCAGUAGCCGGCCUGAGAGGGUGAACGGCCACAUUGGAACUGAGACACGGUCCAAACUCCUACGGGAGGCAGCAGUGGGGGAUAUUGCACAAUGGGGGGAACCCUGAUGCAGCAACGCCGCGUGAGUGAAGAAGGCCCUAGGGUCGUAAAGCUCUGUCGUAUGGGAAAGAA
rnacentral:rRNA from 1 species